rnacentral:rRNA from 1 species
UUUAUGGAGAGUUUGAUCUUGGCUCAGGAUGAACGCUGGCGGCGUGCCUAAUACAUGCAAGUCGAGCGAACGGACGAGAAGCUUGCUUCUCUGAUGUUAGCGGCGGACGGGUGAGUAACACGUGGAUAACCUACCUAUAAGACUGGGAUAACUUCGGGAAACCGGAGCUAAUACCGGAUGAUAUUUUGAACCGCAUGGUUCAAAAGUGAAAGACGGUCUUGCUGUCACUUAUAGAUGGAUCCGCGCUGCAUUAGCUAGUUGGUAAGGUAACGGCUUACCAAGGCAACGAUGCAUAGCCGACCUGAGAGGGUGAUCGGCCACACUGGAACUGAGACACGGUCCAGACUCCUACGGGAGGCAGCAGUAGGGAAUCUUCCGCAAUGGGCGAAAGCCUGACGGAGCAACGCCGCGUGAGUGAUGAAGGUCUUCGGAUCGUAAAACUCUGUUAUUAGGGAAGAACAUAUGUGUAAGUAACUGUGCACAUCUUGACGGUACCUAAUCAGAAAGCCACGGCUAACUACGUGCCAGCAGCCGCGGUAAUACGUAGGUGGCAAGCGUUAUCCGGAAUUAUUGGGCGUAAAGCGCGCGUAGGCGGUUUUUUAAGUCUGAUGUGAAAGCCCACGGCUCAACCGUGGAGGGUCAUUGGAAACUGGAAAACUUGAGUGCAGAAGAGGAAAGUGGAAUUCCAUGUGUAGCGGUGAAAUGCGCAGAGAUAUGGAGGAACACCAGUGGCGAAGGCGACUUUCUGGUCUGUAACUGACGCUGAUGUGCGAAAGCGUGGGGAUCAAACAGGAUUAGAUACCCUGGUAGUCCACGCCGUAAACGAUGAGUGCUAAGUGUUAGGGGGUUUCCGCCCCUUAGUGCUGCAGCUAACGCAUUAAGCACUCCGCCUGGGGAGUACGACCGCAAGGUUGAAACUCAAAGGAAUUGACGGGGACCCGCACAAGCGGUGGAGCAUGUGGUUUAAUUCGAAGCAACGCGAAGAACCUUACCAAAUCUUGACAUCCUUUGACAACUCUAGAGAUAGAGCCUUCCCCUUCGGGGGACAAAGUGACAGGUGGUGCAUGGUUGUCGUCAGCUCGUGUCGUGAGAUGUUGGGUUAAGUCCCGCAACGAGCGCAACCCUUAAGCUUAGUUGCCAUCAUUAAGUUGGGCACUCUAAGUUGACUGCCGGUGACAAACCGGAGGAAGGUGGGGAUGACGUCAAAUCAUCAUGCCCCUUAUGAUUUGGGCUACACACGUGCUACAAUGGACAAUACAAAGGGCAGCGAAACCGCGAGGUCAAGCAAAUCCCAUAAAGUUGUUCUCAGUUCGGAUUGUAGUCUGCAACUCGACUACAUGAAGCUGGAAUCGCUAGUAAUCGUAGAUCAGCAUGCUACGGUGAAUACGUUCCCGGGUCUUGUACACACCGCCCGUCACACCACGAGAGUUUGUAACACCCGAAGCCGGUGGAGUAACCUUUUAGGAGCUAGCCGUCGAAGGUGGGACAAAUGAUUGGGGUGAAGUCGUAACAAGGUAGCCGUAUCGGAAGGUGCGGCUGGAUCACCUCCUUUCU